CUGCAAAAGUCAGAUCUGUGUCAUUCCCUCUGGGUCUCUGUGCCUGUUCCUAGCUGAUUUCCUGGAGGGAAGAUGAAAACUUUGCUUCUUUCUCUCCUUCUCUUUGCUAUUGCAGCAUGUGUCCGUUCCCAGGUUAAACUGCUGCAGACCGGAGCAGCCCAGGUGAAGCCCUCACAGACCCUGAGACUCACCUGCUCCGUGUCUGGAUUCUCUCUCACUGAGUACGGGUAUAGGGUGAGCUGGGUUCGACAGCCCCCGGGGAAAGGCCUGGAGUGGUUAUCUGCUGCGGAUUGGGAGGAUGACAAAUACUACCAGGAGUCUCUGAAAAACCGACUGAGCAUCUCAAGGGACACCUCUAAGAGCGAGGUGUAUUUGGAAAUGAGAGGCAUGGAGGCCGGAGACAGCGGCACCUAUUACUGUGCCAGGAGCUACACAGUGACACAGAGCAAAGCCGGGACUG